rnacentral:rRNA from 1 species
UACAGAGGGUGCGAGCGUUAAUCGGUAUUACUGGGCGUAAAGCGCACGUAGUCGGCUUUGCAAGCCGGUUGUGAAAUCCCCGGGCUCAACCUGGGAACUGCAUCCGGGACUGCAUUGCUAGAGUAUGGGAGAGGGAAGCGGAAUUUCUGGUGUAGCAGUGAAAUGCGUAGAUAUCAGAAGGAACAUCAGUGGCGAAGGCGGCUUCCUGGACCAAUACUGACGAUCAGGUGCGAAAGCGUGGGGAGCAAACAGG